rnacentral:rRNA from 1 species
GGCGGCGUGCUUACACAUGCAAGUCGAACGAGAAAUCUUUAGCUUGCUAGAGAAANGUAAGUGGCGCACGGGUGAGUAACGCGUGGGUAAUCUGCCUCCGAAUCGGGGAUAACAUUGCGAAAGCGAUGCUAAUACCGGAUAAAAUCUGGUUGGCUUCGGUGAACCGGAUCAAAGGUGGUCUCUUUAUAAAAGCUACCGUUUGGAGAUGAGCUCGCGUACCAUUAGCUAGUUGGUGAGGUAAAGGCUCACCAAGGCGACGAUGGUUAGCUGGUCUGAGAGGAUGAUCAGCCACACCGGAACUGGAACACGGUCCGGACUCCUACGGGAGGCAGCAGUGAGGAAUUUUGCGCAAUGGGGGAAACCCUGACGCAGCAACGCCGCGUGAGUGAUGAAGGCUUUCGGGUCGUAAAGCUCUGUCAGGUGGGAAGAACCCACCAAGUGUUAAGACCACUUGGUGCUGACGGUACCACCGAAGGAAGCACCGGCUAACUCCGUGCCAGCAGCCGCGGUAAUACGGGGGGUGCGAGCGUUAUUCGGAAUCAUUGGGCGUAAAGGGCGCGCAGGCGGUUUUGUAAGUCAGAUGUGAAAUCCCGGGGCUUAACCCCGGAAGUGCAUAUGAAACUAUGAGACUUGAGUAUGGGAGAGGGAAGCGGAAUUCCUGGUGUAGCGGUGAAAUGCGUAGAUAUCAGGAGGAACACCGGUGGCGAACGCGGCUUCCUGGACCAUUACUGACGCUGAGGCGCGAAGGCGUGGGGAGCGAACCGGAUUAGAUACCCUGG